ensembl:lncRNA
CUCCCAAACCACAGCCUGGUGCAUCUGUCGUUUAAGACACUCCUCAGGGGCCAUUUUACAUUUAGGUCUGGGAUUAUCUGAGAAACCUUGAGCCUCUUGAAGGUAGAAACCAAGUGUAUUGAGCUCUGCACUGUCCCCCACCUCUUCUCCCAGGAAUGAAGCAUGGUCACCACGUCAUGAAUAUUGUUAGACAAAAGCAAUGGCAGCAUCUUUUGGAGAGUAACCAAGCGCAAUUCCUUCUCUUUAUGUGGAUUUCCUCAUUUAAUCUUUGCCACAACCCUUGGAGGUAGCCAAUAUUAUCAUCCCCAUUUUACAGAUGAAGAAGGCGAGGCUCAGGAGGCCUUUUCCUAGAUGAGAGAGGCGGACAAGGCAAGGGAUUACUUCCCUAUCACACAGGCGAGAAAACCAAGGGCCAAAGAGAGUAAGAGGGUGCCCACAUCAUUGGCAAAUUAGCCAUGGGGUGACCUGGGCCCCAGGCAUUGCUCAGCAGCUUCCUUUUUUCUCAGCCUGGGAACGCUGGGUCAGCUUUGGCCCUUCCAUCUCCAGAGGCAGAUGACCACAGUGGUUCUGAUGGGCCCCCAUCCAGGCCAUGGGACCCCCUCUGAGUCUCCCUCUACUUUCCCACAAUGUCCUGUCAAACCGGCCCAGGUAGCUGUCUUCAGCCUCCAGAUGCUCAAGCUCUCCUAUGAGAGGAAGAGUAUCAUGGUUCCACCAUGAUUGUAUAAGUCCCCUCCCGACACCCAGGCAGGCAACUUUUUGUGGCUUUCACUUCAGGAAAGUUGAGGUGGGUGCGUAGAGGUAGAGGGAGGCGGGGAGGCUGGAGGGUGGGAAUUCCACCCACACAGAUGGGCCUCUGAAACCUCCAAGUUCUUCUCACUGCCCCUGCUGUGACUGGUUGUGUUUCUAAAACAUGGCUGUCCUCUUGAUCAUCAAAAUCGUGCAAGUUAUGGAUGGGGUACCCCUGGCAGGGGGUGGGAGGGGAGUUGACAGUUUUAGUAAUAUUAGAUUUCUUAAGCUGAGUGGAAGGGCAGGGGUGUUUGUAACACAGAUCCCCAAACCACUGCCCGUCUCUAUCAGGGCCACAUGGCUUUCCAAAUCCAGAAUUCUGUGGAUUUUAGAAGGUAGUACAGGGUGCGUGCACACUAGGUACGUUACAGGACACGCCCGUGGGAUCACGGUGAUGCCCUGCAGUCAAGCCCACUGAUAUUUCUCGGCAUAUGAAUGAUCACAUGAAGCAAGAUAAGUACUGUGUUAAUAUUAUUAACAGCCUUCCAUCCAAGCGGUCACGUUUGCUGACAAAAUGUAAAAAAAUCUUGCAGCCUUCAGAGCUUGUUUGAUUUUGUCUUGCAAAUGGGAUUGACAGUCUUAGUGGUGGCAAGUGAGAUCUGUGAUCUUCACUGCAGCGUGAAGGAGUUUUAGUUGCGGCAAGCAUUGUCUGGUGCCCUGACCAGGGAUUGAACCCAGGCCCUCUCCAUUCGGAGCACAGAGUCUUAGCCACUGGACCACCAGGGAAGUCCCUUCAAUAUCUCUUCAUGCGUGAAAAUGACAGCCAACUGUAAUGUAGGCACAUGGUGGAAAACAGAGAAAAGCAUAAAGAAACAAACUCACCCUGCUCAUUCACGGCCAUCACCCAUUUGCCAUAACUAAGAGAUCAAUGUGGGUUCGUUGCUAUUAACCACAUUCCAGACUUUGAAUUUCACAAGUUUUUUCACUGAUAUACUUUUUCUGUCCUAGGACCCAAUCCAGGUUAGCACAUUGCCUUUAGGUUUUUUUAAAAAAUCUUAAAAAAAUUUAUAUUAUUUAGUUUUUUUUUUAAUCUGAAAAGUUCAGAGUCCUCUAACAACCAGCUAUAAACCCCGUCUCCCGGAGUGCCCUUCUUCUUUCCUCCUCCCCUGCCUUUUCUCGGAGCCCCCUCUUAUUUCUGGUUCCUGAGGACUUCCCUUCUUGCAUUUGAGUCUAACUAUGGACAUCAUGCUUUUUAGGAAACUGUUAACCAAGACUUGGGCGUGCUGGAGUGCUUCCAGAAAUCAGUUUGAAGCAGCUCUUCAGGGGCAGAGAGAGUGCCAAGCAGAUGUGUCCUGGCCAGGGAAGAGCAGUUCCAGGACCAGGGUGGGAGUGGGGGUGGGGGGCAGCCUGCAGGGGGAGGAAUCCCAGGGUGGCUGAGGGAGGGGUUGUUUUCUGGGAGGUGGGUAAAGGACUUGCAAAUCAGGCCAGGAGUUAGGUCGAGAUCACGUCAAGGAGACUUAAAGGCCCGAAGAAAGGAGUAGCAGCACAUAGACGGCUUUGGCGUGGGGUGUGGAAGGACGUUCCUUGGUUUGCCACUGGUGCAGAACGGCUGGACUGGGGAGGCGUCAGCCUGAACCUGUGUUAAAGUGAUAAGAGGAGUGGCCCUCAAGCGUCCUUCAUUGCACACAGGGAGCUCCAGAGGCCGAGAACCAGGAUGCUUGUUCAAGGUCACGGGUCACAUUCACAUCAGAGUCCGUGACUGUGGCCCCAGCAUUUUUAUGUAAGUAUGGAUGGGUUUCCAACAACAGCUGUUUCGUUCUUACUCUGGGCCAGGCCCACAUAGCUCCUGACUUCAUGAAUCAUAAAGCUUAGAGGGCAUGGACAGUGAUAGAUAAUACCUAACUAGCCAAACAAAAGACUAUGUAACCACUCAUUGUGCCUGGAGCUAUGAAUUAAAGCCAGGUGGUCAGAGAAGGGGCUUAUACAACUCAUAACCCCAAAUUAGGAGGCUAUUUGAAAGUUAUCUAGUGCUCUGGGUCUUGGACUUUGGCCUACAUCAGAAUUACCUGCAGGGGUGGUUAAAACAGAUUCCUGGCUCAGGCUCAGUUUCUACCUUGGUGGGCCGAGCGUGGUGCCUAGGGUCUGCAUCUCCAACAAGCUCUCUCCCAGGUGGUGCCAAUGCUGCUGGUUGAGGGGCCACGCUUGGUCUCCGGAGUAUAAAAAUGCAGUUAGAUCCAUGGCUAGCAGAUGACGUAUCACUUGGCUUUGCCGAUGGUUUCAUUUCAGAGGUGGAGGAAGUGAGCCAUGCGGGGAAGUCCUGAUACCCGUUCAAACCUGAAAGAAGCUGUUGAGAAUGUGGAUAAGUGAGAAUUCAGGAGAGGAAGAGCCACGUGAUCCCCCAGCUGCAGGUCCUGGGGAACUCCCUUCUGUUUUCAGAUGACUGGUGCUAGGCUGUCUCCAAGAGUCCCUGGGGCCCACUGCUCCGCACACCACUCCCAUCACUCAGCAUGAAGAGUCAAGGGUCCUGGGCUUGCGGGUUGCUGUCUGCUCUGAGGAGGGCCCCCUCUCACAGUGAACCUGGUUUCUUCCCCUCUACCCCCACUGCCCUGGAGAUAUAUCUAUUGGGCUGCUGUCUGCAGGCCUCUGAGCCUUGUAGUUACCCAGCCUUGAGACCAAAGACGGGCCAGGAAACAGCAACAGAGACAUCAAUGGUUUAUUAGACAGGAGAUCUUAAGCAGGAGGUCCUGGAGUGACUGGCUAUCCUAGACAGAAUGUGGCAGAAGGGGAGGAGGAGGCUACUAUUUAUAGAAUAACUAACAUCACCGUGGGUCUUAUCAGUUACCAGGGAAACCAGCAGCUAGGGCGUGUCCCUCGCCACCCUUCAGGUUAAGGACCACGACUAUCUGAAUCACUUUGAGGGCAGGUGUUUCCCUUUAAUAAACUAGCAGGUGGAGCCAUUCUGACCUCAGGAUUAGAACAGUCAAUCCCUAACCGGGGGCCCCAGGGCAAAGGUAUUCCUGUGAGUUGGGGGUAGGUGAAGCAGAGAGUCCUCGAACGGGGGGUGUACAAAGCAAGUGAACUUGUAGAGUAGCCUGAUCAGACACCAUCCCUACCAUCCACGCCUCCUACUCCAGGAAGGAGAUUUUCUUAAACCUCUUGGAUUCUGCAGUGGGGACUUGUGACCUGACUUCUGGUAAGGGAGAAGACUCCAGAGUCGUGAUUGCGAGGAAGAGGCACCAUGAACGUUGGAAGCAAGGGCGGAUUCUAUACCACUGAGCAACCAGGAAAGCCCUGCAUCUCUUUUUGACUUCAGGAUUAAACUGACUUUUUUCCACAUUGACCAAUUUGUGCUGGGUCUUCGCUGCCAUGUGCCGGCUCUCUAGUUGCAGUGAGCCGGGGCUACUCUCCAGCUGCGGUGCUCGGACUUCUCACUGUGGUGGCUUCUCUUGUGGAGGGGCUCUAGAGUGCUGGCCCAGCAGCUGUGGCACUCAGGCUUUGGUUGCCCGCGGCAUGUGAGACCUUCCUGGACCAGGGAUCAAACCUGCGUCCCCUGCAUUGGCAGGCGGAUUCUAAUCCCCUGGACCACCAGGGAAGUCCACACAGGCCUUGCAGUGGCACUUCAAGUGGCAGCAAGAGCCCUGGGCUGGGAGGCUGAGGCUUGGUUCCUGCCCAGCCCUGGGCCUCAUUUUCCCCUCCUGUAAAAUGAGAGGGUUAGACCUGAUGAUCCCCAAGUUCCCUUUUGAUGCUGACCUUGUAAGAUAUUUGUCCACAUGACAUGACUCUAAUGGCGGAAUCUCAGGCACCAUUACUGGGGUGAGCAGGAGGUAUUUUGGAGAAGGCCCUGCCUAGCGCGUUCUGCUGCCUUCCCCACAGGACAAGUUGAGCUGGCCCUGCAGUCUUUUUGAAUAUCUGCCUGUGCAUAUGGCUUUGGUAGAGAGGAAGGGAGCAGGAGCUAGAAUUACCCUGGCUGGGUUUCCCAGCCUCCUCCUUGGUCAGCAGAGAGCAUCUCUCAGACAAUCUCUCUUCUCUCCGCCUUUGACCCCCUUCCCCAGCUACCAGCAGAAGUCCCAUUUCCUGACCUGCUUCCUGCAUGAGCUGUCACUCAUUUCUGUCCCAUGUGGUUCCAGCGUUGGGCAGGAAAUACGGGACUGUGGGGGCUUCAGAUUCAGACGACAGCAGGGAGGGUAAGGGGAUGGCACCAAGGUCCAGUUUCUCAUGGAAGAGGGGGAGGGUGGAGCCUCUAAAAAGCAAAUCAGACUUUAACAUGGAAGAGAAACUCUGAUGAGCCUCAGCCAGACCACUUUAUGAUGCUCAAAGCAUAUGUCUUCUUCCCACCUCAGGCUAGAAUACAAGAGGUUUCUUUCUGCCAUCUCAGUCUUGGGAGGUACCAGGCUCCUGAGAAGCUGUGUGAAGAAAAUCCCUCACUGCCACAUUGGCCAAAUGGAAUGGGGAAAUGGCACAGGAAGACACUGGCAUGUGCAAAGUCCCUGGGGUAGAAGGGAACACGAAAGAGUCAAGAACCUGAAAGGAGGUCGAUGUAGCAGGGAGGAGAGGGAGAGAGGGGAGGCCUGGGUCCACGCUGUGAAGGUGCAGAGGGGGCCUGGCCUUUACUUUGAUGAGCAGGAGAGAUGGCCAGGGGCAAGGGCCAGAGUGGAACUUGGCAGAGGGACACUACUUAGAGUUUAGGAAGACUUGAGGGGACAGCACCAUCUUCUGAGCCAGGUUCUUUCCUCCUCUCUCCCCUCCAAAUGCUCUCUUGGGCCUGUUUCUCUUCUCUUGGGGUCCAAAGCAAGGUCUGACCCAGGAAGCUGACCAGGAGCGCUCAUGCAGGCUGGCAGGCAGGGCUCCUGGCAGAGGAGUCAAUGUGGUCUCACCAGUUCCCAAGUCCUGAGUCCAACAUGGAAAUUACAGGCCUUGGGAUGUAAGCCUCUGUGGGUAGUGACACCAGCUGGGAGACUCACUGUACCCGAGACAGCACCCCCGAGGGGGUUGGGAAGCCCAGGCCCCCACAUUGAUGCCCCAAGGACAGUAUGAGGAUAACCAGGCAGCUCCUUCCCCAAAACAGAAACUUUCACCAUCACAAGUGCCAGAGAGCUUGCUUGGAGCUCUGCCUCAUGUGGACCACAGCCCAGCCAGAAGCCCACAAGGCCCCGGGGCUCAUUUCUACUCCAGGAAAGUGCAGCCCCUCAGCUUCUUUCACCAUCCCGGGAGAGCAUCUCUGCACAAGAGAUGCAGUUAGCAUCUCAUCACUGUGGUUAGCAGGACAUGUGGAGUCCCAGAGCUUGCCAGAACAGCACCAACCUGCUGGACACCUCUCCUAACUCCUGCCCCUUCCCUCCAAGCCCAGAGACUCAGACCUAGGCUUACAUCAAAAGACUGGGAAGUCCCCCAGCACAGCUGGGGGCAUCUGCUGCUUCCUCCAGGGAGGAAACAAGGGCUGCCCAAGGCCAGGUCCUGUGGACGCACAUCCUGCCACCUGGGCUGCUGACCCAGGAGAGGUUAGGGCCCUUGUGUGGGACCAGCCUUGGGCAAUGGGGAAUGCAGGGGGAAGGCUUGGUCUUCAAAUCUACAUCCAAAUACCAGUAUCUUGAAAUAGUAGUUUGGAGUUCCUCUGCCUCGGUUCCCUCAUCUGUUAAAUGGGAUGAUGAUAAUACUUUCCACACAGUGGUCUGGUAAGGACUGAGUUCGUUUGGAGGGACUAACAUGGUGGCCAAGAGCAGGGGUUCUGGAGUGCCCCUGCUUGGGUCCAAACCCCAGCUUCUUCGCUGCUAGCUGUGUAAUCUCGACAUGUUACCUCCCUGUUUCCUCACUUGUAAAAAUGGAGAUUAAAAGGCUGCCAUGAGGAUUAAAGGGGCAAGCAUAAGUACUUAGAGUAGGUACCAGUGCUCACAAAUGUCAGGUAUUGGUUUUACUCCAUGGAAACGGUACUUGGCACACAAGCUAAAUGGUACUUGCCCAGUAAAUGUAGGCUCCACCCUCUGGUCCCCUUGAUUGUUACGUCUUGUGUUUCCUACCCCCAAAUUCAAACACACAAGAUUCCCUUUGAUCUCCCAUCUGUAAAAUGUUAUUACCUUGUUCAUACUCAAGUGUAAAUGACUGGUAGUCAUUUAAUUUAUACCAGAGGAGCAGUCAAAAAUUCAGCCAAAAGAACGAUGUGCUGAUGGUGGAUUCUCAGGCCACCAGCCAGGCUGAGGGUAGGGGGCACUUGGGAAGGUAGCUCUCCCAGAGUCCUUCAGUGAUAACCUUAUCAGCCGGCCAGGUACCUCGAGGGUAGAAAGGAUAUCAGGCCCAAGACCCAGCUCUGCUUCUAAGUGCUGUGUGACUUUCAGCAACUCACUGACCUCUCUGAAUUUCAGCUUCCUCAUCUGCUUAACGGGAUUACUUUUCUGCCUUUCUCAAGGGGCUGUUUGAAAUUAAAUGCACCUGAAAAUGGUCUGCAUUUGUCUCUCCAGAUUGUGGUUAUCUGUCCAUGCGUCCGUCCACUCUCCCCAGCCUGGGCAGGGAGGAGGUGUUCUGUGAACACGAGUGGUACUGAAGUGCACAUCCUGAUCUUGGGACAUAACCCCAUCCAUGCAUCCAGUCACAGCCCACAUGCACUUUCUCUUCCAUCUCCCAUCAUGCCCUGCAGUGACCCGGCGAAGCUGGGAAUACCCCAUUUAGCAGAGGAGGAAACUGAGGCCUGGGGAGGACAGGGCAUUUGCCUGAGGCCACAUAGCUAGAAGUGGUGGGCCUGGGAAUCAGCCACAAGCACUUGACUGCCAAAUCUCUGCCAUC